GGUCAAGUUAUUAAGGGUGCAGGGCGGAUGCCUUGGCACUAGGAGCCGAUGAAGGACGUGAUAAGCUGCGAUAAGCUUCGGGGAGUUGCACGUAAACUUUGAUCCGAAGAUUUCCGAAUGAGGAAACUCACUUAGAGUAAUGUCUAAGUAUCAUUAAGUGAAUACAUAGCUUAAUGAGGGGAACUCAGGGAACUGAAACAUCUAAGUACCUGAAGGAAGAGAAAGAAAUUCGAUUCCGUAAGUAGCGGCGAGCGAACGCGGAUUAGCCCAAACCAAUAAAGUUUUCUUUAUUGGGGUUGCGGACAUAUCAUAACGAAGAGGUAUCGUAAUUGAAGAGGUUUGGAAAGACCCACCACAGAAGGUAAUAGUCCUGUAUGUUAAACGAGAAGACUUUAGAUAUGAUCCAGAGUACCACGGGACACGUGAAACCCUGUGGGAAGCAGGAGGGACCACCCUCCAAGGCUAAAUACUACCUAGUGACCGAUAGCGUAUAGUACCGUGAGGGAAAGGUGAAAAGAACCCCGGGAGGGGAGUGAAAUAGAACCUGAAACCCUGCACUUACAAGCUGUGGAAGCACAUUUCUUGUGUGACCGCGUACUUUUUGUAGAACGGGCCAACGAGUUACGUUAAGUAGCAAGGUUAAGCACUUAAGGUGCGGAGCCGUAGCGAAAGCGAGUUUUAACUGAGCGUUCAGUUACUUGACGUAGACCCGAAACCGGGCGACCUACCCAUGAGCAGGAUGAAGCGAAAGUAAAAUUUCGUGGAGGUCCGAACCCACGAGCGUUGAAAAGCUCGGGGAUGACUUGUGGGUAGCGGUGAAAUUCCAAUCGAGCCCGGAGAUAGCUGGUUCUCCCCGAAAUAGCUUUAGGGCUAGCCUCAAGGUGAGAGAUACGGAGGUAGAGCACUGAAUGUCCUAGGGGGUAUUGCACCUACCGAAGACUAUCAAACUCCGAAUGCCGUCAUCUUAUACUUGGGAGUCAGACUGUGGGUGAUAAGAUUCAUAGUCGAAAGGGCAACAGCCCAGAUCGUCAGCUAAGGUCCCUAAAUGUAAGUUAAGUGGUAAAGGAUGUGGGAUUGCACAGACAACCAGGAUGUUGGCUUAGAAGCAGCCACUCAUUCAAAGAGUGCGUAAUAGCUCACUGGUCGAGUGAUCCUGCGCCGAAGAUUUCCGGGGCUAAAACUUACUACCGAAGCUACGGCAUCAGUAAUGAUGGGUAGGGGAGCUUCCCAUACGGGUUGAAGCAUGACCGUAAGGACAUGUGGACAGUAUGGGAGUGAGAAUGUUGGCAUGAGUAGCGAGAUGUGGGU
rnacentral:rRNA from 1 species